GACGCUCAGGCGCGAAAGUCGGGGGAGCAAACAGGAUUAGAUACCCCGGUAGUCCCGACCUUAAACGGUGCAUACUCGGGGUGGGGGGAUUUCAACCCCCCCGUCCCUCAGCUAACGCGUUAAGUAUGCCGCCUGGGGAGUACGGCCGCAAGGCUAAAACUCAAAGAAAUUGACGGGGGCCCGCACAAGCAGAGGAGCAUGUGGCUUAAUUCGAUGCAACGCGAAGAACCUUACCUGGGCUUGACAUGCAGGUGCACGGACCGUGAAAGCGGUCCUCCUUCGAGGGUCCUGCACAGGUGCUGCAUGGCUGUCGUCAGUUCGUGCCGUGAGGUGUUUGGUUAAGUCCACCAACGAACGCAACCCCUUUGAGCAGUUGCCAGCGGGCGAUGCCGGGAACUCUGCUCAGACUGCCCGUUUACGCGGGAGGAAGGUGGGGAUGACGUCAAGUCAGUAUGGCCCUUACGCCCAGGGCUGCACACGUGCUACAAUGGCCGGUACAGAGGGACGCCAAGCCGCGAGGCGGAGCUAACCCCCCAGAGCCGGCCCCAGUUCAGAUCGGGGUCUGCAACCCGACCCCGUGAAGUCGGAUUGCUAGUAACG
rnacentral:rRNA from 1 species